rnacentral:misc_RNA from 1 species
UUAAUUGAUGCAGGUCAGUUUCCCCCUCCUUUACUCCCGGUCCAGCGCCCGUUAUCGGGCGACAUUGAUCCCGAUCAAUAUUCUCUCCUGCCUGUUUGGAUAACUUAAUCCCAUCGCAACAAGGCAACUGCAGGAGACGCGUCAUGUUUUUCGACAACGUGGUGAUCGCCGGAGUGCUGACCGUCAGCCUCAUGUUGGUGUUCUUUGCAGGAUUCGGAUUUUUUAUCUGGAAGGACUCGCACAAGCGGAAAAAACCGUAAGUCUUUCUCGAUGUAAUGAGCACGCAAGGCAUUUUGGGCAACUUCGGUUGCCCUUU